UACAGAGUGCUGAUUGGUGUAUUUACAAACCGUUAGCUAGACAUAAAGGUUCUCCAAGUCCCCACUAGACUCAGGAGCCCAGCUGGCUUCACCCAGUGGAUCCUGCACCGGGGCAGCAGGUGGAGCUGCUUGCCCGUCCCGCGCCCUGCGCCUGCACUCCUCAGCCCUUGGGCGGUUGAUGGGACCCUGCGCCGCGGAGAAGGGGGCGGCGCUCGUCGGGUAGGCUCCCGCGCGCAGGAGCCCACGGCGAGGCGGGGGAGGGACUCAGGUAUGGCGGGCUGCAGGUCCCGAGCCCUGCGCCCGCCGGAAGGCAGCUAAGGCCCGGCGAGAAAUCCAUUGCAGCGCCGGUGGGCCGGCACUGCUGGGGGACACGACGCACCCUCCGCAGCUGCUGGCCUGCGCGCUAAGCCCCUCACUGCCUGGGGCCGGCGGGCCGGCCGUCCGCUCAGAGUGCAGGGCCCGGCAAGCCCACGCCCAUCCGGAACUCUAGCUGGCCCGCAAGCGCUGCGCGCAGCCCGUGUUCCCGCCCGAGCCUCUCCCUCCACACCUCCCGGCAAGCUGAGGGAGCUGGCUCCGGCCUCAACCAGCCCAGAGAGGGGCCCCCACAGCGCAGUGGUGGGCUGAAGGGCUCCCUGAGCAUGGCCAGAGCGGAUGCCGAGGCCGAGGAGGCGCCAAGAGCGAGCGAGGGCUGCGAGGACUGCCAGCAAGCUGUCACCUCUCAAUGGGGAAAAGAUGUCAUAAUGAACUGCAAGCAAAUUCCACCAAGAGCUGAUUUAGGCAAAAUCUCCAGAAAAACAUAAAGCUUCAAUAAUGAAUAAAAAAGACCAGAGGAUGCAAAAUUCCACAGGAAUGUCAGGUCUAAAUUUUCAAAGUAAUCAGAAAACUUGUCAUGCUGUUACCAAGAGUCCUGUGUUCCACUGCUCAAGGGCUUUGACUUCUGGGUACAUGUAUCUCAUCUAAGGAGGGCGCUGACUCCUGCUGGUAUCUGACUCAAACUCAGGCUAACGAAAGUCUUGUCGUUAGACACAGGCAAAGGCAAUAAUCAAAGUAAACUGCUUUCAUGCAAUGCAGGGACAGUCCAUCAUUGAAGGCUACCAGGACUUUGGUUGAUUCUAUGUUUUUACUACUGUGAAUGGUGCUGCAACAAACAUGUUUUCUUUUAGGAUUUUUAUAAUUGGAGGUCUACACUUGUGUAUCAGGUUGAGUGAUGAGGUUACGCCUUUAAACCAGUCCCACAGACUCUCACAGAAUAAGUGUUCCCUGUGGCUCUGAACCACAUUGUGGACUGGAGAUAGGCUACAGUGUGCAUGUGAAGUAGGAGUCAUGAGCUUGAAACAGGGGUGGAUGGGGAAACAGGUUGUGUUCCUGCCUAUGUAGGAUAGGAAACAAGUGCAGCUUCCCAAUCCUGCUGCAGAGACCUCAGUGCACUUCACCAGGAGCCUCUCUCAGCCACCCUCAUCAGGGCUAGUACCUGUGCUCAGCACUGAAAUAUCUAUGGGCAAGCCGAGGGCUCCAGCAUGGUCCAGCUGUGUCCCCUGUGAAAGUGGCCUCAAGGAAUAGGAAGCUCAGAGCACCAGCCACCCCAUUGUCCAAUCCUUCACCGGAAACAAGAGACCACCUCACAGUAAACAAAGAUUGGGUCCAUACACACCUGAUUGUGCGGCAGCUGGCAUUUACCUACAAAUACAAUUUAAUGGACUUUAGGUUAGACCACCCAGCUCAAUACAAAACCUGCUGACAGAAGUCCACAGGACUACAGAAGGAAAGCCAAAAGACCCUAUCCGACACAGCCCUCUCCAGAUGAGAAGAAACCAGCAAAGAAUUCUGCCAUCAUAAGAAUCUGAAUGUUGUGACACUACCAAAGUUUCACUCUAGCAGUGAAGCCAUGGUUCUUAGCCAAAAUGGAGGCAGAGAGAUAACAGAUGGAGAAUGCAAAGCAUGGAUUUCAGGGAAACUCAACAAGAUCCAAGACAAGGUUGAAAAUCAACACAAAGAAAGUUCUAAAGCAAUCAGAGAAAUAAAGGAAGAGGUAAACAUCUUAAAAAGAAAUCAAGCAGAGCUACUGGGACUAAAAAACACACUUAAGAAUUUUUAAAAUACAAUCAAAAGCUUUCUCAAUAGACUAGAUCUGACAGAGGAAAGAAUUCAGAGCUUAAAGAUUGGUCUUUCAGACUAAGCCUGUCAGACAAAAAAAGGGAAGAGAAUUUUUUUUUUAAAUGAACAAAGUCUCUGAAAAAUAUGGGAUUAAGUAAAGUAACCAAAUCUUUGAAUUAUUGGCAUUCUUGAGAAAAAAGGAGAAAAAGUAAACAACCUGGAAAACAUUUGAAGGAAUAAUUUAGGAAGAUUUUCCUAAUCUUGCUAGAGAGGUAGACACAUUUAAAUUAUUGCUGAGUUGUAAGUGUUCUUUCUACUUUAUAGAUAGCAGACACUUACGUACUAUUUUUAAAUAUUUUACCCCAUUGUUUUUGUUGUUGUUGUUUAUUUUUGACACACAAAAAUUUCAGCUGUGAUGACAUUCAUUUUACAUUUUCCCUGCCUUGGUUGCUUGAACUUUUGCUGACAGGUCUAAUAAUGUGGCUAAUCAAAGAUCACAAGGAUUUUUACAAAGAUUUUCUUCUAAGAGUCCAUAUAGCUUAUAGCACUUAUGUUUAGCUCUUUAGUCCAUUUUGAGUCAAUAUUUACUAUAUAGUCUAUUAUGGGGUUCUAAAUGUAUUCUAUUGGAUGUGCCUAUCCAGUUGUCCCACCACAAUAUGUUAAAAAUUAUUUCUGUCUUAUUGUUUGGUUUUGACACAGCUAUAAAAAUCUAUUGACUAUGGAAGUUGUGUGUCUGUUUCUGGACAGUCAACUUUAUUUAAUUAAUCUAUAUGUCUAUCCCCAUGCCAGUUUCACUCUGUUAUGAUUUCUGCAGGUUUGCAGUUACGUUUUAUAAAAUACUGCCAUCAACAAUAUUAAGUCUUCCAAUCCAUGACCACAGGAUGUCUUUUCAUUCAUUUAGGUCUGUAAUUUAUUUCAG
rnacentral:lncRNA from 10 species